CUUCCGUUUUCUUCCCGCCGCAGCCCGCGAUCUGCCGUCUCCAUCUCCGGUUCGCGAAGCAACCUUGCAGCAGUCGUCCCGCGCGCCGAUCUGCCGUCUCCAUCGCCGGUUCUGUCUUCGUCGAAGCCCGAGCCGCCGUGUGAACCAGUAACCGCCACGUCCGCCGCUCACAACCGCCGUCCAAGCCAGCCGCCGCCGAUCCCUUCUCCUCCGUUGUCUGCACUGCCGCGCGAAUCUCCGGCCGUCUAUAUACGGUCUCUCCGUCGCACGUCGUCUCUUCGCAAAGCUACUGCUCGAUUUCUUUCGCGAAGAUUUGGGUUCGUUCUUCAUAGACUUCAACGUGGUUAAGGAGCUUAACUAACUUGAAAGCAAAGGUAAUAAAGGCGGCAAACCGGCGAGGGGCAGGAAGGAAGCGUGAUGCCAUAGGAAAC